AUGCUUCUCUUAAAGACUAAGCCAUGCAUGUCUCCGAAUAGAAGAGCGAUCUCUCCGAAUCUGCGAACGGCUCCGCAAACCAGUUGUAAACUAUAGCAAGCAGCCCUGGCGCCAGGAUAAAAGCUCGCAAUGGGGUAAAUGGAUAACCGUGGUAAUUCUGAGGCUAAUACAUGAGCGUACCACCCAGCUGACGGAAACGAAGGUUGGGGUACGUGUGACUCAAGACAGCAAGCGAUACAGGAAUGGGUGCACGUUCAGACCACCGUAAAACACAGUCUCGGUUCCCCGAACUGCCUUCGGGCAGGGACGGUGCCUUGUCUGGGUGGCUCUUGCGUUGUGCUUCUGACCUAUCAACUAGAUGGCAGCGUAACGGACAUGCUAUGGUGACAACGGGUACAGAGGAUAAGGGUUCGAUCCUGGAGAGUGGGCCUGAGAGAUUGCUCACACUUCUAAGGAAGGCAGCAGGCGCGCAACGUUCCCAAUGGGCAAUGCCCGAGGGCGUUAGGAGACAUAUGAAUGCUUGCCAAUAGGUGGGCAAUUCAAAUGGGUUCGUUCUAAACAGCCCU
rnacentral:rRNA from 1 species